ensembl:snoRNA LOC120094943 small nucleolar RNA SNORD70
CUCAAUGUUGUCAAUGAUGCAUCUUACUGGAACUGAGUUUCAGUGAUCUAACCCAUUCGUCACUACCACUGAGACAACAUUGAG